rnacentral:rRNA from 1 species
AGAGUUUGAUCCUGGCUCAGAACGAACGCUGGCGGCAGGCUUAACACAUGCAAGUCGAACGAUGUAGCAAUACAUAGUGGCGCACGGGUGAGUAACGCGUGGGAAUGUACCUUUUAGUUCGGAAUAACUGCGGGAAACUGCAGCUAAUACCGGAUAAGCCCUCAGGGGGAAAGAUUUAUCGCUAAAAGAUCAGCCCGCGUUAGAUUAGCUAGUUGGUAAGGUAAUGGCUUACCAAGGCUUCGAUCUAUAGCUGGUCUGAGAGGAUGAUCAGCCACACUGGAACUGAGACACGGUCCAGACUCCUACGGGAGGCAGCAGUGGGGAAUAUUGGACAAUGGGCGAAAGCCUGAUCCAGCCAUGCCGCGUGAGUGAUGAAGGCCUUAGGGUUGUAAAGCUCUUUUACCAGGGAAGAUAAUGACGGUACCUGGAGAAUAAGCACCGGCUAACUUCGUGCCAGCAGCCGCGGUAAUACGAAGGGUGCUAGCGUUGUUCGGAAUUACUGGGCGUAAAGCGCGCGCAGGCGGUUUUUCAAGUCAGAGGUGAAAGCCCAGGGCUUAACCCUGGAAUUGCCUUUGAAACUGGGAAACUAGAGUGUCGGAGGGGAUAGCGGAAUUUCUAAUGUAGCGGUGAAAUGCGUAGAUAUUAGAAGGAACACCGGUGGCGAAGGCGGCUAUCUGGACGACAACUGACGCUGAGGCGCGAAAGCGCGGGGAUCAAACAGGAUUAGACACCCUGGUAGUCCGCGCUGUAAACGAUGGGUGCUAGCUGUUGGGGUUUAAACCUCAGUGGCGACGCUAACGCAUUAAGCACCCCGCCUGGGGAGUACGGUCGCAAGAUUAAAACUCAAAGGAAUUGACGGGGACCCGCACAAGCGGUGGAGCAUGUGGUUUAAUUCGAGGCAACGCGAAGAACCUUACCAGGCCUUGACAUGGGUAGUUUGAUCGCCGGAGAUGGCUUUCUUCAGUUUGGCUGGCUACCACACAGGUGCUGCAUGGCUGUCGUCAGCUCGUGUCGUGAGAUGUUGGGUUAAGUCCCGCAACGAGCGCAACCCUCGUCCUUAGUUGCCAUCAUUUAGUUGGGAACUCUAAGGAAACUGCCGGCGAUAAGCUGGAGGAAGGUGGGGAUGACGUCAAGUCUUCAUGGCCCUUACGGCCUGGGCUACACACGUGCUACAAUGGCAGUGACAAUGGGAAGCUACCUCGCGAGAGGACGCUAAUCUCAAAACGCUGUCUCAGUUCGGAUUGCUCUCUGCAACUCGAGAGCAUGAAGCUGGAAUCGCUAGUAAUCGCGGAUCAGCAUGCCGCGGUGAAUACGUUCCCGGGUCUUGUACACACCGCCCGUCACACCAUGGGAGUUGGUUCUACCUUAAGCCGGUGCGCUGACCGCAAGGAGGCAGCCGACCACGGUAGGGCUAAUGACUGGGGUGAAGUCGUAACAAGGUA